rnacentral:rRNA from 1 species
UACAGAGGUCCCAAGCGUUGUUCGGAUUCACUGGGCGUAAAGGGUGCGUAGGUGGCAUGGCCAGGUUGAUGUGAAAGCUCAGGGCUUAACCCUGAAAUGGCAUUGAAUACUGCUGUGCUGGAGGUUUGGAGGGGGGACUGGAAUUCUUGGUGUAGCAGUGAAAUGCGUAGAUAUCAAGAGGAACACCAGUGGCGAAGGCGAGUCCCUGGACAACACCUGACACUGAGGCACGAAAGCUAGGGGAGCAAACAGG